rnacentral:rRNA from 1 species
GAGUUUGAUCGUGGCUCAGACUGAACGCUGGCGGCAUGCCUAACACAUGCAAGUCGAACGGCAGCGCGGGUAGCAAUACCUGGCGGCGAGUGGCGGACGGGUGAGGAAUACAUCGGAAUCUACCCUGUCGUGGGGGAUAACCAACCGAAAGGUUGGCUAAUACCGCAUACGACCGAGAGGUGAAAGCGGAGGACCGCAAGGCUUCGCGCGAUUGGAUGAGCCGAUGUCGGAUUAGCUAGUUGGCGGGGUAAGAGCCCACCAAGGCGACGAUCCGUAGCUGGUCUGAGAGGAUGAUCAGCCACACUGGGACUGAGACACGGCCCAGACUCCUACGGGAGGCAGCAGUGGGGAAUAUUGGACAAUGGGCGCAAGCCUGAUUCAGCAAUGCCGCGUGUGUGAAGAAGGCC